AGCAUCAAUAAGCCAAGUAGUUCCUGAAAGACACAGAAGCAGUCAGGAGCAUGCAUCAGCAGUACACCCGAGGGUUUCAUAACCCCUUUACAUUGCAAGAUCAAUGUUGAAAUUUCAAUUAAGCAUGUAUUUAGCUAGUGCUAAAUAUCCAAAAAUUGGAGGGCCAAGGCCAGAAGCAGCAUUAAGUAAAUUAGUUCCUGAAACAAACAGUCAGGAAAAGGCAUCUGCAGUACACCGGGGGAUUUAAUGAGCAAUAAGAUUGAAAUAUCAAUGUUGAUAUUUCUAUUAAGCACUCAUGUUAGGUAAUGCUAACAUCCAAACAUAUUAGGCACAGGCCCAGUUGCAUCCCAAAACAAUCUAGUUGCUGAAAGACACAGCCUGGAUCUGGCAGGAGGAUGCAUACAUAAGAGGGCUUUAAUUUAAAAAUAUCAAGUUUAAGGGUCCCAGGACCCAGCGUGUGGCUACGAAGGCCCAAAUCUAACAAGGAGCCACAUGUCACAUGGUGGCACAAUGACAGAGCCUGGAGGUGGCAUAAGUAUGAGGAGACUAUCUCAGAAAUUCAGACAAACACUCCAAUUUUAAUAGAAAGUAAAAAUGACAACCUUGAGACACUCUCAUUAAAAGUGGAUAACAGUGUUGAGACACAGCAGUCACCUGUAGCCCAGUUCCAUCAAAUAAAGCCUUGCACAAAAUUGAUAUUUCCACAAUAAAGAAUAGACUGAAUAAAAAAGGGGUAACUUCAGUGCUUAUUAAAAGGUGUACUAGAUGAAUUCAAUAGUUCUCUCAGUCAGAAGAAAAUAUUAAAGUUGUUUUAGGUAUGUUGUCUGACGAAAUACCUUUGUGUAAGAACAAGCGCUUAUCCAAAAGAUUACACCGAGCUAUACUGCCCUUAAGAAAGGCACAUAAGACAGUUAAAAAAUCUCUGCAGCUUGUGGCAAAAUCUGGAAAGAGCAAAAAUAUGGCAAAAUCCUUCAGUGUACAGGAACACCUUACUGUUAAUAGCAAAGAGGUAAAUCCUAAACAGGUUGAAAGUAUAAGCAGUCAGAUUUAACAGACAGAAGAUUCCUUUAAAAUUUUGAAAGUUGCCGAGGUAUAGAAGUGCCCAACCACAGACAGAAAAUGUCUAACAGAAUCAACUCAAGUGAUGGUUAAUGGAGUGUUUGUGCAAGAUUCCCAGCAGGCCAAAGUAAAUGGCAAUUCAGCUACAAAAAUUUCACUUUUGACUUCUUACAAACUUACCAUGUCCUACCCAGUUACUCCUGAAGACAGUUCUAGCAUUACCAGUAUUACCGUAUCAGAUAAAGAAAAUGCUAUGCCAGCAGUUCCUUCUGUGAAAUCACCUUAUGAUGGCAAAGGAAAGCAUAUAGUAAGAUCAGGGCCGCCAUCAGGGGGGUACAACCCAUACACCUGUAUGGGGCCCAGAGCUUCAGGAGGCCCAGCCGGCCCUGGACCUUUUUUUUUCCAGCUUGUCAGGGCCGGACAGGCCAGGGGCUGUUGGGAGUCGACAUGCCCUGCGCAGGCACACACGUCUACUCCAGUCACCUGACCUGUCCCUGCAUGAUCUCCAGUCCAGACGAUCCUCCCCGUGCAUAGGAGCAGCAGCAGCCUCCGCUGCACCGAUCCCCGGCAGCCAGCAGGAGGAUGAGGAUCUGCUGACAAUGUGAGGAGCCAAUGAUGUCUGGAUGUCAGACUCUGCAGAAAAGAUGGAGCUGGAGGAAGACCUGGUCUCUGGACCAGAUGAAGAAGAAAAGAUAACAGAGAAAAUAUCACUCAAGUGAGAAGACGUCACUCAGGUAUUAUGACUGUAAAGCAACCGUCCUGCGUAAAAUAAAAAAAAAACAAGGAAUUCAGGAAGUGGGAGCAGGAGUUCCGGAACCAUCUCCUGCCAGAGGGUCGGAGUGAGACAGGCCUUGGUGGUCCUCAUAUGUCGCCUGAAUCCGAGAGUGCUGGCGAUCAACCAGGUCCAUCUGCAGGGAGGAUGGUCCGCCAUCAAAACUUGCCCCAAUCACCUGUCCUGUCCUCAGCAUCGGCUGAGAUAGAUGAGGAGGAGGAGGUGUCCCCAGGUGAACAACACCAACCACUCUCCCCCAACCCUAGCUCCUGGCUCUGUCCCAAGGGAUACUUACCUGCAGCUUGCUAAAGAAAUCCAAAGGCUGGCCAAGGAGAACAGGAACAUGUCGCGCGAAUUGCGCCGGAUGAAUCGCACCAUGGUUGAACUCCACCGAUCACAAAAACAAGAGUUCCAAGCCCUGUUGGCCAAACAAAUGGGAGAAUUUCAGGCCAUGUUGUCCCACCAUAGCCAACAACAGAUGCAGGCGAUGCAUGAUUUGAGGGUGGACGUUAUGCCCCAUAAGCAGCAGCAAUACCCCCAAAAAAAACUGAAAUAUACGGGACUAAAUUAUUUCGCCUUGUUGAUAUGUUUCAGUUGUUGUUCUGUUUAAGAUAUGUUAUUAUUACUACUGCAGCAUUGAAGGCCUUGGCCAUUCAAGAAAAAAAAAAACAUUUUUUUCUUUAUCCUGUGUGGUGUCUAAAUUAUUACUAACAUUACAUUAUUUUUAUUUCCACUUUUUUUUUUUUUUGUGUUGUCCACAUCUUGGGGGAGAUUUAUCAAGACCUGUCCAGAGGAGAAGUUGCCCAUAGCAACCAAUCAGCUCGCUUCUUUAAUUUUUUAACAAGGCCUGUGCUAAAUGAAAGAACCAAUCUGACUGGUUGCUAUGGGCAACUGGGCAACUUUUCCUCUUGGCAGGUUUUGAUAAAUCUGCCCCCUUGUCCACAGUGCUCUCUGCUGACACCUUUGUCCGUAUUAGGAACUGUCUAGAGCAGCAGGAACUUUGCUAUGAAAAUGUUAUUCUAAUCUGGACAGUUCCUG